rnacentral:rRNA from 1 species
GUAGGUGGCAAGCGUUGUCCGGAAUUAUUGGGCGUAAAGCGCGCGCAGGCGGUCCUUUAAGUCUGAUGUGAAAGCCCACGGCUCAACCGUGGAGGGUCAUUGGAAACUGGGGGACUUGAGUACAGAAGAGGAAAGCGGAAUUCCACGUGUAGCGGUGAAAUGCGUAGAGAUGUGGAGGAACACCAGUGGUGAAGGCGGCUUUCUGGUCUGUAACUGACGCUGAGGCGCGAAAGCGUGGGGAGCAAACAGGGAUUAGAUACCCUGGUAGUCCACGCCGUAAACGAUGAGUGCUAAGUGUUAGGGGGUUUCCGCCCCCUUAGUGCUGCAGCUAACGCAUUAAGCACUCCGCCUGGGGAUACGGCCGCAAGGCUG